rnacentral:rRNA from 1 species
GACGAACGCUGGCGGCGUGCCUAAUACAUGCAAGUCGAGCGCAGGAAACUGACGGAACUCUUCGGAGGGAAGGCAGUGGAAUGAGCGGCGGACGGGUGAGUAACACGUAAGGAACCUGCCUCAAGGAUUGGGAUAACUCCGAGAAAUCGGAGCUAAUACCGGAUAGUUCAACGGACCGCAUGGUCCGCUGAUGAAAGGCGCUCCGGCGUCACCUUGAGAUGGCCUUGCGGUGCAUUAGCUAGUUGGUGGGGUAAUGGCCCACCAAGGCGACGAUGCAUAGCCGACCUGAGGGGGUGAUCGGCCACACUGGAACUGAGAAACGGCCCAGACUCCUACGGGAGGCAGCAGUAGGGAAUCUUCCACAAUGGACGAAAGUCUGAUGAAGCAACGCCGCGUGAGUGAUGAAGGUUUUCGGAUCGUAAAACUCUGUUGUAGGGAAGAACACGUACGAGAGGGAAUGCUCGUACCUUGACGGUACCUUACGAGAAAGCCACGGCUAACUACGUGCCAGCAGCCGCCGUAACAC